ACUUCUCAGAUCAUCACUACAGCGUUUGCAGCUUUCCAGCUCAUCAUGCUGAACUGAAGACAAGACGAGGGGAAAAUCAAGGGUGGGUUUUUCCGCAGCACCGUGGUGUCCCGGCUUGGGAUACGUUUUAUCUGUUGUGAGCCUAAACCUUUUUUACUUCUCAAGCCAGGCCAAAUUUUUGGAUCCCCUUCAGGUUGCAUUGGUAAACAAGAAGGAAAUGUACACAUUCUAUUUAUUCUUACAACCAAGAAAUGAACUAAUUGAGUAGCUAGUGUGGACCACAGUUGCAAAGGAAGGAACUCACAAGCGAGCUCUUCAAGCUGUGAUUAUGUGGGCAGGAACAAUGGCCUGGGUAAAGAGAAGAUGAAUAGCCAUCACUCCAGCCAAACAGCAAAUAUGAAACUCAAAUUGUGCUUUGUUAUUUUUCAAAUAGCAAUGCUGUGUAUUUGUGGGAAUCAUAGGAGAGAUUUUUUAAAAAUUCUUAUCUGCAAAGGUAGAAUGAAUGGGAACAAAAGCACUGACUGUGUAUUU
rnacentral:lncRNA from 1 species